UACAAAAAUGAAAGUGUUACAAUAGCCUUGACCAAAUGCCACCAGCUCGUUGAUACACUUACUGCUAGCUAACGAGUUGUGAACUUCACACCAAUUUCUUAAUUACAAAGUAAACGAAAACCCAAUAACUGAUGAGCCAUGUGACAUAUAAAUUACCCACCGAAAAUAAAUGAAAUCAAAGCACAUUCAAAAAAUACUCAAAGGCAACAACAACAAGCAUAGCCAAUAAAGAUGUGCAGGUGUAAAUGAAGAUUGAAAAACAUUUAUAAGAAAAUAAAAUGUAUAAAAAAAUGGCAAAUGUUGAUAAUCGGCGUCCACCAUGGCAAACAUUCAAGUUAACAAUUUACACAGCGGAGUACGAGAAGCGAUUUGUGGAGAUUUAGAGGAAGCAAAAAACGAAGUAUUGUGUGAGGAGUGAUGUUUGUAAAAUACGCAUAGAUAACUCUUUAUGGGCUUAUACAAUAGGAGAAUCUUAUGCAAACAUAAAAUGGCUAUGCAAAGAUAAAUAAUUCAAUUUAAAAUUAUAUAAAUAGAAAAUUUUAUGUGAUAAAUUA